rnacentral:rRNA from 1 species
AUGAAUUCUUUGAAUACCCAUGAUGCUAAUGAUAUGCAAAGCCACAAGCUUGGGGAUGCUAUGUUUGAUGAAGAUGAUAUGUUUAGUCCCCCAAGUUUUGAUGAGCAAAUUUAUUAUGACGAAAACAUGCCUCCUAUUUAUGAUGAUUAUUGUGAUGAAACGUAUGCUAUAAAGAAUAAAUAUAACCAUGAAACUUGUCAUCAUGAUUUUAAAUUUCAAUUGGAUUAUGCUUCACAUGAUAGUUAUUUUGUUGAGUUUGCUCCCACUACUAUUGAUGAGAAUAAAUUUGCUUAUGUGGAGAGUAGUAAAAUUUCUAUGCAGGUAGAUCAUGAAAAGAAUGCUUUAUGUGAUGGUUAUAUUGUUGAAUUCAUUCAUGAUGCUACUGAAAAUUAUUAUGAGAGAGGAUCAUAUGCUUCUACAUAUUGCAAUAAUAUCAAGUUUCCUCUCUAUGUGUUGAAAAUCUUGAAGAUUUGCUUGUUUUACCUUCCUAUGCUAGUUGUUUCAUGUUCCCAUAAAUAG